CACACUUUGAGCAAAAUUCAUUAUUACCAAUAAUAAACUAUACUCUCCAACUUCAAGCUCUGUAAUCCUCUUUCAAAAACCCCAUAUAAUUAUGAAAAUGGAAUUGAAUCAGAAACAGCAGAGGCUUAAUCCUCCACCGAGAAGGGGACAAAUCAAGUUGAAAAUCGGGAAGUCUUUGAUUAAUUCUGCAGCUGAAUUGGUUAAUAUGGCCAGUGGAUCAAGAAACAAAAAGGGUAGUACUAUUUCCUUAAUAUCAUCAGAUGGAAGAAAAACCCCAGUAGAAAUUACUAGUUCCUAUAAUUCUGGUACUGAUUCUGAUGGAUCAUAUAGAUGAUGGUGUAUUUUUGUAGUUUUAUGAACUUGAGGGGAAUUUCAUGUACAGAUUUAAACUUAGGGAAUUCCUGUUUCCCCUGUUUUCUUCCCCUGCUUUAGCUUAUGAACUAUACUACACCUUUAUUAAUUUUAAUCUCGUUAUUUUUCUUCGUUUUUACUUCAUUCUCAAUUUCAGUGUGUACAAUAUUGGUAAUGGAUAUGAGCCUUUUCGUAAGAUAUUUCUUGUUUUAAUUGAUAAAGUGUAAAUUUGAGAUUUCUUUGUUCACGGACUUUACUUUUUCUUAGUAUGAGCAUGACUGGGACAAAAGUCAACCAAAAAUUAUCGAGUUUUUCUUAUUUUUAAGGCAAGUUUCGAUGAGCUUUUUCUAUUUCAUGGUGCAAUAGAGGGAAGAAAUCUUGGAAUUUAUUCACUUU
rnacentral:lncRNA from 1 species